rnacentral:tRNA from 1 species
GGGUGGUUGGCGGAGUAGCUAACGCAUCAGACUGUAAAUCUGACGGCCUUUGGCCUUCGGGGGUGCAAAUCCCUCACCACCCA